AGAGGAUCUUCUGAAACCAGGGAUCAACCCUGUGUCUCCUCCUGGCCAGAUCCAUGUGUCUCCAUGCCUACUGAACCUCUUUUCAGGACAGUAAACUACACCUCAUAGGUCAUAUUUGGCAUGCAUUCUGUUUUGUAAUUACUGUUUUAUUAAAGUUUUAUUAAAACAUGGACUUGC